rnacentral:rRNA from 3 species
AAUCCAUAGGUUAAUGAGGCGAACCGGGGGAACUGAAACAUCUAAGUACCCCGAGGAAAAGAAAUCAACCGAGAUUCCCCCAGUAGCGGCGAGCGAACGGGGAGGAGCCCAGAGCCUGAAUCAGCAUGUGUGUUAGUGGAAGCGUCUGGAAAGGCGCGCGAUACAGGGUGACAGCCCCGUACACAAAAGCGCAUGUGCUGUGAGCUCGAUGAGUAGGGCGGGACACGUGGUAUCCUGUCUGAAUAUGGGGGGACCAUCCUCCAAGGCUAAAUACUCCUGACUGACCGAUAGUGAACCAGUACCGUGAGGGAAAGGCGAAAAGAACCCCGGCGAGGGGAGUGAAAAAGAACCUGAAACCGUGUACGUACAAGCAGUGGGAGCACCCUUUGGGUGUGACUGCGUACCUUUUGUAUAAUGGGUCAGCGACUUAUAUUCUGUAGCAAGGUUAACCGAAUAGGGGAGCCGGAGGGAAACCGAGUCUUAACCGGGCGUUAAGUUGCAGGGUAUAGACCCGAAACCCGGUGAUCUAGCCAUGGGCAGGUUGAAGGUUGGGUAACACUAACUGGAGGACCGAACCGACUAAUGUUGAAAAAUUAGCGGAUGACCUGUGGCUGGGGGUGAAAGGCCAAUCAAACCGGGAGAUAGCUGGUUCUCCCCGAAAGCUAUUUAGGUAGCGCCUCGUGAAUUCAUCUCCGGGGGUAGAGCACUGUUUCGGCUAGGGGGCCAUCCCGGCUUACCAACCCGAUGCAAACUGCGAAUACCGGAGAAUGUUAUCACGGGAGACACACGGCGGGUGCUAACGUCCGUCGUGAAGAGGGAAACAACCCAGACCGCCAGCUAAGGUCCCAAAGUCAUGGUUAAGUGGGAAACGAUGUGGGAAGGCCCAGACAGCCAGGAUGUUGGCUUAGAAGCAGCCAUCAUUUAAAGAAAGCGUAAUAGCUCACUGGUCGAGUCGGCCUGCGCGGAAGAUGUAACGGGGCUAAACCAUGCACCGAAGCUGCGGCAGCGACACUGUGUGUUGUUGGGUAGGGGAGCGUUCUGUAAGCCUGUGAAGGUGUGUCGUGAGGCAUGCUGGAGGUAUCAGAAGUGCGAAUGCUGACAUAAGUAACGAUAAAGCGGGUGAAAAGCCCGCUCGCCGGAAGACCAAGGGUUCCUGUCCAACGUUAAUCGGGGCAGGGUGAGUCGACCCCUAAGGCGAGGCCGAAAGGCGUAGUCGAUGGGAAACGGGUUAAUAUUCCCGUACUUGGUGUUACUGCGAAGGGGGGACGGAGAAGGCUAUGUUGGCCGGGCGACGGUUGUCCCGGUUUAAGCGUGUAGGUGUGUGUUCCAGGUAAAUCCGGUUCACUUUAACACUGAGGCGUGACGACGAGGCACUACGGUGCUGAAGCAACAAAUGCCCUGCUUCCAGGAAAAGCCUCUAAGCAUCAGGUAACAUCAAAUCGUACCCCAAACCGACACAGGUGGUCAGGUAGAGAAUACCAAGGCGCUUGAGAGAACUCGGGUGAAGGAACUAGGCAAAAUGGUGCCGUAACUUCGGGAGAAGGCACGCUGACACGUAGGUGAAGUGAUUUACUCAUGGAGCUGAAGUCAGUCGAAGAUACCAGCUGGCUGCAACUGUUUAUUAAAAACACAGCACUGUGCAAACACGAAAGUGGACGUAUACGGUGUGACGCCUGCCCGGUGCCGGAAGGUUAAUUGAUGGGGUCAGCGCAAGCGAAGCUCCUGAUCGAAGCCCCGGUAAACGGCGGCCGUAACUAUAACGGUCCUAAGGUAGCGAAAUUCCUUGUCGGGUAAGUUCCGACCUGCACGAAUGGCGUAAUGAUGGCCAGGCUGUCUCCACCCGAGACUCAGUGAAAUUGAACUC